AACGAACGCUGGCGGCAGGCCUAACACAUGCAAGUCGAACGCCCUAGCAAUAGGGAGUGGCAGACGGGUGAGUAACACGUGGGAACCUUCCCUAUAGUACGGAAUAGCCCAGGGAAACUUGGAGUAAUACCGUAUAAGCCCGAGAGGGGAAAGAUUUAUCGCUAUAGGAUGGGCCCGCGUCGGAUUAGCUAGUUGGUGAGGUAAUGGCUCACCAAGGCGACGAUCCGUAGCUGGUUUGAGAGAACGACCAGCCACACUGGGACUGAGACACGGCCCAGACUCCUACGGGAGGCAGCAGUGGGGAAUAUUGGACAAUGGGCGAAAGCCUGAUCCAGCCAUGCCGCGUGAGUGAUGAAGGCCUUAGGGUUGUAAAGCUCUUUUGUCGGGGACGAUAAUGACGGUACCCGAAGAAUAAGCUCCGGCUAACUUCGUGCCAGCAGCCGCGGUAAU
rnacentral:rRNA from 1 species